AUAGGGGAGCCGGAGGGAAACCGAGUCUUAAUUGGGCGUUAAGUUGCAGGGUAUAGACCCGAAACCCGGUGAUCUAGCCAUGGGCAGGUUGAAGGUUGGGUAACACUAACUGGAGGACCGAACCGACUAAUGUUGAAAAAUUAGCGGAUGACCUGUGGCUGGGGGUGAAAGGCCAAUCAAACCGGGAGAUAGCUGGUUCUCCCCGAAAGCUAUUUAGGUAGCGCCUCGUGAAUUCAUCUCCGGGGGUAGAGCACUGUUUCGGCUAGGGGGCCAUCCCGGCUUACCAACCCGAUGCAAACUGCGAAUACCGGAGAAUGUUAUCACGGGAGACACACGGCGGGUGCUAACGUCCGUCGUGAAGAGGGAAACAACCCAGACCGCCAGCUAAGGUCCCAAAGUCAUGGUUAAGUGGGAAACGAUGUGGGAAGGCCCAGACAGCCAGGAUGUUGGCUUAGAAGCAGCCAUCAUUUAAAGAAAGCGUAAUAGCUCACUGGUCGAGUCGGCCUGCGCGGAAGAUGUAACGGGGCUAAACCAUGCACCGAAGCUGCGGCAGCGACACUGUGUGUUGUUGGGUAGGGGAGCGUUCUGUAAGCCUGUGAAGGUGUGUCGUGAGGCAUGCUGGAGGUAUCAGAAGUGCGAAUGCUGACAUAAGUAACGAUAAAGCGGGUGAAAAGCCCGCUCGCCGGAAGACCAAGGGUUCCUGUCCAACGUUAAUCGGGGCAGGGUGAGUCGACCCCUAAGGCGAGGCCGAAAGGCGUAGUCGAUGGGAAACGGGUUAAUAUUCCCGUACUUGGUGUUACUGCGAAGGGGGGACGGAGAAGGCUAUGUUGGCCGGGCGACGGUUGUCCCGGUUUAAGCGUGUAGGUGUGUGUUCCAGGUAAAUCCGGUUCACUUUAACACUGAGGCGUGACGACGAGGCACUACGGUGCUGAAGCAACAAAUGCCCUGCUUCCAGGAAAAGCCUCUAAGCAUCAGGUAACAUCAAAUCGUACCCCAAACCGACACAGGUGGUCAGGUAGAGAAUACCAAGGCGCUUGAGAGAACUCGGGUGAAGGAACUAGGCAAAAUGGUGCCGUAACUUCGGGAGAAGGCACGCUGACACGUAGGUGAAGUGAUUUACUCAUGGAGCUGAAGUCAGUCGAAGAUACCAGCUGGCUGCAACUGUUUAUUAAAAACACAGCACUGUGCAAACACGAAAGUGGACGUAUACGGUGUGACGCCUGCCCGGUGCCGGAAGGUUAAUUGAUGGGGUCAGCGCAAGCGAAGCUCCUGAUCGAAGCCCCGGUAAACGGCGGCCGUAACUAUAACGGUCCUAAGGUAGCGAAAUUCCUUGUCGGGUAAGUUCCGACCUGCACGAAUGGCGUAAUGAUGGCCAGGCUGUCUCCACCCGAGACUCAGUGAAAUUGAACUCGCUGUGAAGAUGCAGUGUACCCGCGGCAAGACGGAAAGACCCCGUGAACCUUUACUAUAGCUUGACACUGAACAUUGAGCCUUGAUGUGUAGGAUAGGUGGGAGGCUUUGAAGUGUGGACGCCAGUCUGCGUGGAGCCGACCUUGAAAUACCACCCUUUAAUGUUUGAUGUUCUAACGUGGACCCGUGAUCCGGGUUGCGGACAGUGUCUGGUGGGUAGUUUGACUGGGGCGGUCUCCUCCUAAAGAGUAACGGAGGAGCACGAAGGUUGGCUAAUCCUGGUCGGACAUCAGGAGGUUAGUGCAAUGGCAUAAGCCAGCUUGACUGCGAGCGUGACGGCGCGAGCAGGUGCGAAAGCAGGUCAUAGUGAUCCGGUGGUUCUGAAUGGAAGGGCCAUCGCUCAACGGAUAAAAGGUACUCCGGGGAUAACAGGCUGAUACCGCCCAAGAGUUCAUAUCGACGGCGGUGUUUGGCACCUCGAUGUCGGCUCAUCACAUCCUGGGGCUGAAGUAGGUCCCAAGGGUAUGGCUGUUCGCCAUUUAAAGUGGUACGCGAGCUGGGUUUAGAACGUCGUGAGACAGUUCGGUCCCUAUCUGCCGUGGGCGCUGGAGAACUGAGGGGGGCUGCUCCUAGUACGAGAGGACCGGAGUGGACGCAUCACUGGUGUUCGGGUUGUCAUGCC
rnacentral:rRNA from 1 species